CUGUAAAGUUUCAGUGUAAAGUGUGGU
rnacentral:sRNA from 1 species